rnacentral:rRNA from 1 species
UAAUUCUAGGGCUAAUACAUGCUAAAAAUCCCGACUUCGGAAGGGAUGUAUUUGUCAGACUAAAAACCAAUGCCCUCUGGGCUCUCUGGUGAUUCAUGAUAACUGCUCGAAUCGCAUGGCCUUGCGCCGGCGAUGGCUCAUUCAAAUUUCUUCCCUAUCAACUUUCGAUGUUUGGGUAGUGGCCAAACAUGGUUACAACGGGUAACGGAGGGUUAGGGCUCGACCCCGGAGAAGGAGCCUGAGAAACGGCUACUACAUCCAAGGAAGGCAGCAGGCGCGCAAAUUACCCAAUCCCGACACGGGGAGGUAGUGACAAUAAAUACUGAUACAGGGCUCUUUUGGGUCUUGUAAUUGGAAUGAGUACAAUUUAAAUCCCUUAACGAGGAACAAUUGGAGGGCAAGUCUGGUGCCAGCAGCCGCGGUAAUUCCAGCUCCAAUAGCGUAUAUUAAAGUUGUUGUGGUUAAAAAGCUCGUAGUUGAACCUUGGGCCUGGCUGGCCGGUCCGCCUCACCGCGUGCACUGGUCCGGCCGGGCCUUUCCCUCUGUGGAACCCCAUGCCCUUCACUGGGUGUGGCGGGGAAACAGGACUUUUACUUUGAAAAAAUUAGAGUGCUCCAGGCAGGCCUAUGCUCGAAUACAUUAGCAUGGAAUAAUGAAAUAGGACGUGCGGUUCUAUUUUGUUGGUUUCUAGGACCGCCGUAAUGAUUAAUAGGGACAGUCGGGGGCAUCAGUAUUCAAUUGUCAGAGGUGAAAUUCUUGGAUUUAUUGAAGACUAACUACUGCGAAAGCAUUUGCCAAGGAUGUUUUCAUUAAUCAGGAACGAAAGUUAGGGGAUCGAAGACGAUCAGAUACCGUCGUAGUNUUAACCAUAAANUAUGCC